rnacentral:rRNA from 1 species
CCUUGACAUACUAAGAACUUUCCAGAGAUGGAUUGGUGCCUUCGGGAACUCAGAUACAGGUGCUGCAUGGCUGUCGUCAGCUCGUGUCGUGAGAUGUUGGGUUAAGUCCCGNAACGAGCGCAACCCUUUUCCUAUUUGCCAGCGGGUCAUGCCGGGAACUUUAAGGAUACUGCCAGUGACAAACUGGAGGAAGGCGGGGACGACGUCAAGUCAUCAUGGCCCUUACGGCCAGGGCUACACACGUGCUACAAUGGUCGGUACAAAGGGUUGCUACCUCGCGAGAGGAUGCUAAUCUCAAAAAGCCGAUCGUAGUCCGGAUCGCAGUCUGCAACUCGACUGCGUGAAGUCGGAAUCGCUAGUAAUCGCGGAUCAGAAUGCCGCGGUGAAUACGUUCCCGGGCCUUGUACACACCGCCCGUCACACCAUGGGAGUUUGUUGCACCAGAAGUAGGUAGUCUAACCGCAAGGAGGACGCUUACCACGGUGUGGCCGAUGACUGGGGUGAAGUCGUAACAAGGUAAGCGUAGAUGA